rnacentral:lncRNA from 1 species
CAGAAACUAGGAGUCCUAAGGCUUGGAGGAACUCGAGGGUUGAGUUUGGAGAAGAUUCAGCAUGUUCUGAAGAAUUCCAUCAUUCUUCUCCUUUUCUUUUUCAAGUUCAAUUCUGAGACCAUCCCUCUUAGCUUCCACUUCAACCACACGAGUCUUAAGCCUGGUAGAAAAUAAACAAAAAAAAUCCUAAUCUGGAUCACUGGGGGUACUGGUACUAGUUCAGGGGACAGAAACUAGGAGUCCUAAGGCUUGGAGGAACUCGAGGGUUGAGUUUGGAGAAGAUUCAGCAUGUUCUGAAGAAUUCCAUCAUUCUUCUCCUUUUCUUUUUCAAGUUCAAUUCUGAGACCAUCCCUCUUAGCUUCCACUUCAACCACACGAGCCUUAAGCCUAGUAAUUUUAGCAUUCUUAGUUGCGCAUUCCUGAACCAAAAUCCUAAAUUUUCUGUUGAUGGGUGUUC